AAGGUCCUACGGGACGCAGCAGUGGGGUAUAUUGCACAAUGGGGGGAACCCUGAUGCAGCGACGCCGCGUGGGUGAAGAAGCGCCUCGGCGCGUAAAGCCCUGUCAGCAGGGAAGAAAAUGACGGUACCUGAAGAAGAAGCCCCGGCUAACUACGUGCCAGCAGCCGCGGUAAUACGUAGGGGGCAAGCGUUAUCCGGAUUUACUGGGUGUAAAGGGGGCGCAGACGGCGAUGCAAGCGAGGAGUGAAAGCCCGGGGCCCAGCCCCGGGCAGGCUCUUGGACCUG
rnacentral:rRNA from 1 species